GACGAACGCUGGCGGCGUGCUUAACACAUGCCAGUCGAACGGAAAGGCCCUGCUUUUGUGGGGUGCUCGAGUGGCGAACGGGUGAGUAACACGUGAGUAACCUGCCCUUGACUUUGGGAUAACUUCAGGAAACUGGGGCUAAUACCGGAUAGGAGCUCCUGCUGCAUGGUGGGGGUUGGAAAGUUUCGGAGGUUGGGGAUGGACUCGCGGCUUAUCAGCUUGUUGGUGGGGUAGUGGCUUACCAAGGCUUUGACGGGUAGCCGGCCUGAGAGGGUGACCGGCCACAUUGGGACUGCGAUACGGACCAGACUCCUACGGGAGGCAGCAGUGGGGAAUAUUGCACAAUGGGCGGAAGCCUGAUGCAGCAACGCCGCGUGCGGGAUGACGGCCUUCGGGUUGUAAACCGCUUUCGCCUGUGACGAAGCGUGAGUGACGGUAAUGGGUAAAGAAGCACCGGCUAACUACGUG
rnacentral:rRNA from 1 species